rnacentral:rRNA from 1 species
UGAACGCUAGCUACAGGCUUAACACAUGCAAGUCGAGGGGCAGCAUGGUCUUAGCUUGCUAAGGCCGAUGGCGACCGGCGCACGGGUGAGUAACACGUAUCCAACCUGCCGUCUACUCUUGGACAGCCUUCUGAAAGGAAGAUUAAUACAAGAUGGCAUCAUGAGUCCGCAUGUUCACAUGAUUAAAGGUAUUCCGGUAGACGAUGGGGAUGCGUUCCAUUAGAUAGUAGGCGGGGUAACGGCCCACCUAGUCUUCGAUGGAUAGGGGUUCUGAGAGGAAGGUCCCCCACAUUGGAACUGAGACACGGUCCAAACUCCUACGGGAGGCAGCAGUGAGGAAUAUUGGUCAAUGGGCGCAGGCCUGAACCAGCCAAGUAGCGUGAAGGAUGACUGCCCUAUGGGUUGUAAACUUCUUUUAUAAAGGAAUAAAGUCGGGUAUGUAUACCCGUAUGCAUGUACUUUAUGAAUAAGGAUCGGCUAACUCCGUG